rnacentral:rRNA from 1 species
AUUGAACGCUGGCGGCAUGCUUUACACAUGCAAGUCGAACGGUAACAGGUUAAGCUGACGAGUGGCGAACGGGUGAGUAAUGCAUCGGAACGUGCCCGAUCGUGGGGGAUAACGCAGCGAAAGCUGCGCUAAUACCGCGUACGAUCUGAGGAUGAAAGCGGGGGACCGUAAGGCCUCGCGCGAUCGGAGCGGCCGAUGUCAGAUUAGGUAGUCGGUGGGGUAAAGGCUCACCAAGCCGACGAUCUGUAGCUGGUCUGAGAGGACGACCAGCCACACUGGGACUGAGACACGGCCCAGACUCCUACGGGAGGCAGCAGUGGGGAAUUUUGGACAAUGGGCGCAAGCCUGAUCCAGCAAUGCCGCGUGCAGGAAGAAGGCCUUCGGGUUGUAAACUGCUUUUGUACGGAGCGAAAAGGCUCCCUCUAAUACAGGGGGCUCAUGACGGUACCGUAAGAAUAAGCACCGGCUAACUACGUGCCAGCAGCCGCCGUAAUAC